UUUACACCCAGAUUGGAUUUUAAUUAUCCUGCUGGCUGGUCUGUUGGUUUGGAUGACAUGAGACACACCACUAGAACACAUGGUAGAAUGAGAUCCAGGCCUGGCCAAUCCUUGUAGACUAUUCUCCAGCCGCCUCAUCAAUUUGUCAGGCUUCAUCUCUGUCCAGAUAUCACCACUGCCUGCUGGAAAUCUCCAACUGGAAGCCUCAGCAACACCAAAAACCCACCUUCUCAUGGAUGCACUCCUUAC